GACGAACGCUGGCGGCGUGCUUAACACAUGCAAGUCGAACGAAGUGGCGAACGGGUGAGUAACGCGUAAUCAACCUGUCCUUCUGAGGGGGACAACAGUUGGAAACGACUGCUAAUACCGCAUACUUAAGGAGGUGGUUGCGUUUGUUUAGUUGGUUGGAGGGGUAACGGGCCACCGGGGAGCUGAUCAGUAGCCGGACUGAGAGGAUGAACGGCCAGAAUGGGACUGAGACCGGGCCCAGGCUGCUACGGGAGGCAGCAGUGGGGAAUCUUCCGCAAUGGACGAAAGUCUGACGGAGCAACGCCGCGGGAGUGAUGACGGCCUUCGGGUUGUAAAGCUCUGUUAAUCGGGACGCGGUACCGGAAUAGAAAGCCACGGCUAACUACGUGCCAGCCGCCGCGGUAAUAC
rnacentral:rRNA from 1 species